CUGUGUUUUCCUCCUCCGGGUCUUGGCAUCGGUCUCUGUCAUGGAAAGAGCCCUGAGGUGACCAGAAUCCAUCCACACACAGACUGUCGUGGCCUAGAUGCCUGAGCCAGCUGCUCCUGGUUGGUGGAGUACAUCUGCUGCAGGGCCUGCUCCAGCUCAUGGUUCCUGUCGAGGAGGCUUUUCCCCAGCUCCGCUGCCAAAUGGAGAUCUGUCAAGGCACAGGAAAACAUGUAAACAUAAGAUACAGGGCAGUUUCAAUGCCCAAACACAGGCAAUGGAUAAAACUAGAUGUGUGUAGUGGGUACACACACACAAACCUCGUUGUCUCACGCUAUUACUUAUCUGGCACUGGUGAAUCACGGAGGAAUCUGAAACAUGCCUUGGGAUCUCCUUGUGACCCUUUCCCCCCCUCUACUAAAUUCUUGUGAAUUCUGAAUCUUGUCCAGCGACAGUGUUGACUACCCCGCUGAGGUGAAGUGAAUCUUAUGUGGGAAGUACUCUAGGUACAGACAAUAACAAUGCAAGGAAACCAAACAUGUUUCACGCAACAAGCAGUGUGUGCCCUGUGAUUUUAACUCAAACUUGCAAUCAAAUAGUCUUAAGCUCUACUCUGACGUCCUUAGAGUUGGUGGCGGAGAGGAGGAUGCUGAACAAACAUUUAUCCAACACGGAAGAAUGACUGAAAUCUGGUCCGUAAAUCUACAAACAGCAGAACAUUUCCAGUUUUAUUCAGCUCCACUGUGGAAUGCUACAGGAAGUCUUUCCUGUCUGCUGCCAUCACUCUGCAUAAGGAGCCGCCUCUGUAUCGGGACUCUGGCUCCUACGAUUUCUUUCCUACAACCAGGACUUGGUCUUGUACAUCCAUCAGCUUAAUCAUUAUAGUAACUCAUUACUCUUUUGGUUAUUGAUUUACUUGCUAAUUAUUUUCUUUGAUUGAUGUAUCAUUUUUGUAAACACAGCAAUAGUAAAUAGUGCCCAGCGAUGAUGUUUUAAAAUUCCUCAUUUUAUUCGCCCCACAAGCCAAAACCCAAACAUACUACAUUUAUUUUAAUAUAUGCCAAACGUAGGCAUCCUCACACUUAAGAAGCUAGCACCAGCAAACAAUUAAUUGUUUAUCAAUCAAUAGUUGAUUAUUAUAUUAAUCAACUAAAUCUUUCCAUGACUCUCUGCUGUUCUUUCACACUUUUCAGACCUUCUAGCCAUAUUUAUUACCACUACAUUAUCUCACCCCUGCACUGUAAAACACCACUAUAUUUGAUAUAUAUAUAUAUAGUAAUGUUUAUUCAAUUUACAAAUGCUUCUAUUUUAAUAUGCAGUACACAAGCACAAUCCAGGACCUUGUGCAGUAUACUACAGGGAACUACAACUGUAAAGUGUAUAUUCAAUACAUAGAGGUUCUAGUUUUACUUCUUCUCAGGUUUAUAUUUUAUCCUGUCCUUAUUAUUUAUUCCUUAUUCCCUUGUUUUGUCCCUUAUGUUCUGUAACUGCAAUGUAUCUUGUGCUUUAAUAAAACACUCCAUCUAUAAA